CCCAGGAGCAGGGCAAGAAAUUGUUCCCGCCCUGCUCUCAGAAGGAACUAACACUCAACUGCUCUGCUCUGGCUUGGGGGCCUGUACUUUUCCUAGGCUUUUAAUUUUUACUAUGCAUCUUCCAUCAGCCUUACUACUGAAGGCUGUAUGCCAGCUGACGUCUAUGCACAGCAAGGUGGCUUCUGGGACACCUGCUUCAAACAGGUAUCCAGCUAACUGCUCCCCACCAAACCCCGCCAGGCAUAUGUUUGAGAUGUCUGGCCACUGGAGGUCGUCUCGUCUACUAUGUUCACCACAGAUAAAGAAUGAAAAGAGAAUACACAACCUUGUGAUUGCUAGCAGUGAAAGCUCAGAGUUGUGACAUAACAGGUACAAAUUGAUCUGACUUGAUUUGUCAGAGAGCCAGAACUGCAGGCAAAUAGACGCCAGAGAAAUCAACCGAUCUUUUAAGCCAGCAGUAAUUGUUCCUCCUGUCGGCUGGCUAAAUGAGUUGUAUCUGGAGGAGAUGCUCAGAAUGAAUCAGAAUGCUCGAGGUGACAGAAACACAGAGCAUUCCAAAGUGGGCUGUAACAGAGUAAGUGUUUCUUCAUGUCUUACAAGGGUUUGGUUUCAUGUUUUUUCCCCUUUCCCUCUUAUUCUGUCUCCUGGGGCUAGUGUUAUCUGGCAGAGACCAAGCUGAUGCAUGUAUAUAAUAGCAAGGAAUAGUAGUUUGUGUGGGGAUGAGGGAAGGUGAGUAUUAGCAUUUAACCCUAGAAUAUACUUACCUGUGUCUCAGUCACUAAACCCAGGAAGUUCCUAUAGAAUAGGCACCACCAAAGAGGCGGUAAAAUCCCUUUGCUGGCGAGCUGUCCAUCUUUUUUUUUUUUUUUUUCUUUUUUUUUAGACAGAGUCUCACUCUGUUGCCUAGGUUGGAGUACAGUGGCACCCUCCCAAGUAGCUGGGAUUACAGGCAUGUCCUACCACGCCCAGCUAAUUUGUGUAUUUUUAGUAGAGAUGGAGUUUCACCAUGUUGGCCAGGCUGGUCUCAAAGUCCUGACCAGUGAUCCUCCUGCCUCGGCCUCCCAACGUGGUGGGAUUACAGGUGUGAGUCACUGUGCCUGGCCCCAUUGUUUUUAAAUUAAAAAAAAAAAAAAUGAAAUAGUUUGAACAUACAGGAAAACUGCAAAAUAUAAUUUACACUCAUGUACCGACUACCCAGAGUCAUAUUAGCAUUGGUUCCCUUUUUUUUUCUUCCUUUUUCCCUCUCUCGCUCUUUUCUUCCCUCCCUUCCUUCUUUUGAAACAAAAUGUUGCAGUAUAGCUAAAUCUUCAUUCUUUUAUCACAUUGUUUUAUUUAUUUAUCUUCCUUUCCAGAGGGAGCUGAUAUCAUAAGGUUAGAAUUUAUCUUUCUUGUUCAUUAAAAUUACCUUAUAUAUAUGCAGAAAUAAUAUGCAGCACUCUUUGGGGGUAGGUUUUUAAUAUUAACCUAUGUGGUAUAUUUUAUAUGUAUUCUUUUACAACUUGUUUACAUUUUUUGUUGGGAUUUAUCCAUGCUGAUACUAAUAGGUCUAGUACAUUUGUUUUAACUGCUGCAUUGAAUUGCUUUAUAUGACUAACCUCAACUUUAUUUAACUUUACUCUGUUAUGAACAUGUUUUUUCCUACUAUAAACAAUGCUGCAAUACUUGUGAGCUCUCUUCAGGCCCAGGUGUAAGGUUUUUUUCUACAGGGUAUAUAUUUAAGAGCGGAAUUGCUGGGUUACAAGAUUGGCUUUUCUUCAACUUUACUAGCUAUUAUCAAAUUGUUAAACUGUGCACUUAAAAAUAGUUUAUACAGCAUCCCCCUAAAGGAUAGACCAAAAAGGAAUAAGAUGUAGGAAUCGAAUAGCAAAAAGAUGUAACAAAAAAACUAGUUCAGUAAAGCACAUUAUGUUCGUUUUCUGUAACCUGGUCCAUGAUCUUUCUGGUUGUAUUUCCUUUCUUGAAAUAAGACUCUAAUGCAAUCUGUAUCCUACGUGAGGUAAAAUAGUGCCUGAACUACCAUCUCUAUACUAUUCCACCAUAAAUAGACAAGGCAAGUAGCUGGGUAAGAGCUCCUAAGUUAUCCUUCUGAGCUCCAGACUUUCAUUCCAUAACUUUAUCUUCAGACUUUGUUGCAUUAUGUGCCCAGGUUGGGAAACUAGCUUCAUUUUGUAAUCACCCAUAAAAUCUGAAGAAAACCAGGUCUUAAAGGUGGAAUGUACCAAUCCCCUGGAGGAUAUCAGAGUAUCUGGUGCAGGUCACAGAAACCUCUGAACAUCAGAAAUAGAAAUGAAAAAAGAUCUUUAUUUCAUGGUGUAACCAGCUUGUGAGUACACAUUUGGACACACUCAUUUUGAUGCUUCCAUUUACAGUGGUUCUAAACCCUAUAGGCUUAUGCUAAACUUCCACCACCUUCCCCUCAGAGGCAUCCCCCCAGUUAUUUCAAGGGGGUCCCCAAGGUGUUGGCUCAUCACAUGUGCUGAGAAACACGUUUGCUUGUGUGAUGCCUUGGCUUCUUUGUCAGGGGACUGUACCCUGGGUUGGCCCUCAGUGAGAAUGGGACUCCAUUAGGCACAUCCAUAUUCUUCCCUUCUUAGGAAGCCAGAGCUAUCCGUAUGCGUGGCAGGGUUGGGAUAGGGUGAGAAGGGGAGCAGGACCUUUUCUCUAGCUCUCCUCUCGGGCUCUAAAGCAGCACACAUGUACCCAGCUUUGCUCAAAGCCUCCCUUCUGCUUCUGCACAAUUCCUCAUGUUUUUGAGAUUCAAAAUUAUUUUUUUGCCACAGGGUUGGAGUCGGGGUGGGGAAAAUGUUACUCCAUUCUCGCUAUUGUCACCCUAUUUCCUGUCUCUCCUCCUAGGCACUGUGUCUCAGUACUCUCCCAACUUGGUCCCCAGGCAGUGAGCGCUUCAUGGCCAGGGAGAGAUAGGACUGAACCCUUGUACCUUCAAACAUAUCUAAAUCCCUGUUGCAGUUCAGGUGAGACAGCCUGCUAAAUAGAGUCACUAAAGACACAAAGAGGCCCUUUGGGGGACAUUCAUUAUUUUCCUCCCAUGGCAGAUCAGCAACAAAAGCACAUGAAGACACCAGCCUUGUUUUGAAUGGAGAACAGAUCUGUGCAUGUAAAGAAGAAAUAGCUUGUUUGGGGCUAAAUCAAACCUCUGAACAUUUCUUUUUCUUUUUUUUUUUGACAGAGUUUCACUGUGUCACCCAAGCUGGAGUGCAGUGGUACAAUCUUGGCUCACUGCAACCUCUGCCUCCCUGGCUCAAGUGAUUCUCCCACCUCAGCCUUCUGAGUAGCUGGGAUUACAGGCAUGUGCCACCAUGCCCGGCUGAUUUCUUGGUAUUUUAGUAGAGAUGAGGUUUCACCAUGUUGCCCGGGGUGGUCUCGAAUUCCUGAGCUCAGGCAGUCUGUCCACCUUGUCCUCCCAAAAUGCUGGGAUUACAGGUGUGAGCCACUGUGUGCCCAGCCCUCUGAACAUUUCUUAAAACAUGGAAUCAUGGCUGGACGUGGUGGCUCACGCUUGUAAUCCCAACACUUUGGGAGGCCAAAGCAGGAGGAUUUCUGAGCCCAGGAGUUCAAGAUCAGCUUGGGCAAUACAGCGAAACCUUGUCUCUACAAAAUAAUAACAAAAAAAGUAGCCAGGCAUGGUGGUGCACACUUGCAAUCCCAGCUACUUGGGAGACUGAGGCAGGAGACUUGCUUGAACCUGGGAGGUCAGGACUGUAGUGAACCAUGAUUGUACCACUGUACUCCAGCCUGGGCAAUAUAGUGAGACUUCAUCCCAAAACAGAAAACAAAAACACACAGGAUCACGUUUGAAGAGAUCUUAGGUGUUAUCUAGUUCACCAUCCUGUCUAUCUUGAUUAUCUACUGUUUUGUUACAAACCACCCUGAAAUUUAAUGACUUAAUAGUGAUUCAUUGUUUUUCACAGUUCUGUGGGUUGGCUGAAUGGUUCCUCUGCUGUUUUCACCUGGGCUGACUUAUGUGGCUGUGUUGAAUUGGAGCUUCCAGGAUGGCCUCAUUCAUAGGUGUGGCAGAUGGUAUUGACUGUUGGCUGGGGUGCCUUGGUUCUCCUCUUAGCCUCUUAUCCUCUGGAAGGCUUCCUUACAUGGUGAGUCUCAGGGCAGCACUUAAAGAGGAUGGAAGCUGCAAGGCCUUUGGAACUCAUACAACCACAUUCUUGUCACAUUCAAUUGGUCAAAACAAGUCAGAAGGCUGGCCCAGAGUCAAGAUUGAGAAAUAGACUCCACUUCUUGAUGGGAGUUGUUGCAAAAUAUUGUGGCCACUCAAUCCCAGCUAUAGCAUCUCUGAUGGUUGUUCUAAUUAAAUAAGGCUAGUGAAGGGCUUCUUUCUCUUUCUUGAGACAACUUGUUUCAUGUAGACCACCCACAGUCUUUCCUUUUGGAUGAACACCUCUUUGGUUCAAAAUAAGCAUCAGGGUCUCACGCAUCCUUAUUCAUUACUGGGGAUAUGAAACCUGGAGGAGAUGAAAAGGAAAUUGUACCUUUAGGACACAUGCAUGGAAUAACUUAUUUUUGUCUAAGUUACACUUGAGCUAGAUGUGCCUGCUGGGGAGGUACCCUUGUUCUGGCUAAGCUGGGCCAGUGUAGAGCUGAGGGGCAAUAAAACAAAUGAGCUGAUUGCACCUGUCUCUGGCGUAGAUUUUAAGGGAGAAAGAGAAAGGGGGUCCUUGAGAUUUCUGUGCUAUUCAGCCUAGUUCACUAAAGCAGGAGAACAGAGAAAUUAGUUGGAGAGGAAGCCCUGGUCCAGAAUAAAGGGUGCCCAGGGCUAAAAAUCUCAGGAAAUUUUGUGUUGUCGUAAGUAUCUGGAUGGCAUGCAGAUCCAGGGGAAGCAAGAGGAUGCAAACAUACUUUUGGUUUAGUGCUCUGUUACUCACAGUGUGUUCAUUGGGUCACCAGGAGAAUCUUGGGCCCACUGCAUUUUAAUAAGAUCACCAAAUAACUCAUCUGCUCAUUAAAAUUUGAGACGCACUGACUUAGACAGCCUUCCC
rnacentral:lncRNA from 1 species